GGGAUCAUUACCCGAGUUUACAACUCCCAAACCCAAUGUGAACGUUACCAAACUGUUGCCUCGGCGGGAUCUCUGCCCCGGGUGCGUCGCAGCCCCGGACCAAGGCGCCCGCCGGAGGACCAACCAAAACUCUUAUUGUAUACCCCCUCGCGGGUUUUUUUAUAAUCUGAGCCUUCUCGGCGCCUCUCGUAGGCGUUUCGAAAAUGAAUCAAAACUUUCAACAACGGAUCUCUUGGUUCUGGCAUCGAUGAAGAACGCAGCGAAAUGCGAUAAGUAAUGUGAAUUGCAGAAUUCAGUGAAUCAUCGAAUCUUUGAACGCACAUUGCGCCCGCCAGUAUUCUGGCGGGCAUGCCUGUCCGAGCGUCAUUUCAACCCUCGAACCCCUCCGGGGGGUCGGCGUUGGGGAUCGGCCCUGCCUUGGCGGUGGCCGUCUCCGAAAUACAGUGGCGGUCUCGCCGCAGCCUCUCCUGCGCAGUAGUUUGCACACUCGCAUCGGGAGCGCGGCGCGUCCACAGCCGUUAAACACCCAACUUCUGAAAUGUUGACCUCGGAUCAGGUAGGAAUACCCGCUGAAACUUAAGCAUAUCA
rnacentral:sRNA from 1 species